GACGAGGGAUCCAAGCGUUGUUCGGAAUCAUUGGGCGUAAAGCGGGUGUAGGCGGCUUUAUAAGUCAGAUGUGAAAGCCCUGGGCUCAACCCGGGAAGUGCAUUUGAUACUGUAGAGCUUGAGUGUGGGAGAGGCUAGUGGAAUUCCUGGUGUAGUGGUGAAAUACGUAGAUAUCAGGAGGAACAUCGGUGGCGAAGGCGGCUAGCUGGCCCAACACUGACGCUGAGAUCCGAAAGCGUGGGGAUCAAAC
rnacentral:rRNA from 1 species